rnacentral:lncRNA from 1 species
GCCUGCGCGGUAGUGGGACCCGACCCUGUCUCCAGUGGGCGUCUUGGGCCCCGGCUCUAUUCUGGGCUGCGGGCCUGGGAAGGGCUCGCCGGGUGCCAAAUGAGCUGUCCUAACUCUGCGGGGCUGCAGCUUCCUGCAUGAUGCUGGGGAGCUUGGCGCCUGACCCAGGAUCUAGAAGGCACUCUGGGCAGGCCGCGCUCCGCCCACGAAGGUACCCAACCCUCUGGGAUAGAUGCAGGAAGCGAUGGUUAAGACCCAUUUUCACCCAACUUCUCGCCGCAGGUCUGGCUUACCACACGCUCCUCCCCAUUCCCAGUGAGCCGCUUUUUGCAGCACCAGGCGAACACUUACACCAGUGCUUUGUAAAGGAAUCUUAUUGUCCACCCCGUGUCUUGGCAAAAGAACAGUGAUCACACAGAUUCCUACUUGGGCUCUUUCCUUUAAUCUUCGGAGGCUGAGUUUGCCCAACUCAGGUUUAACCACCAAGGACUCUGAGAGCUGGCAGGUCUGAGUAACCCUGGUAACAAUUCUCUUCACCUUAUCAAAACCUGAGCUAAAACCAAUACAUCAGCUGAUGAUGACAGCAGAGAGUGGCAGGGCUGAGGACCCAAAGUCAUUUCCCAGGCUGGCGGAGAGUGAGUAAAUGAGAUUCUAAAACUAAACAAGGGAGGUCAGAGACUCUUUCCAACCUUACCUGAUGGCUUCUCGCCAAAGCAAGGAAGUGUCUUGGAAGGUGUUGGUUGGUGAUGGUGCGAA